CUUUUGCAUAAUGAAUUAACUAGAAAUAACUUUGCAAAGAGAACCAAAGCUAAGGCCCCCGAAACCAGACGAGCUACCUAAGAACAGCUAAAAGAGCACACCCGUCUAUGUAGCAAAAUAGUGGGAAGAUUUAUAGGUAGAGGCGACAAACCUAUCGAGCCUGGUGAUAGCUGGUUGUCCAAGAUAGAAUCUUAGUUCAACUUUAAAUUUACCUACAGAACCUUCUAAAUCCCCUUGUAAAUUUAACUGUUAGUCCAAAGAGGAACAGCUCUUUGGACACUAGGAAAAAACCUUGUAAAGAGACAAAUGGAAAGCAAAAAAAAAAAAAAAAAAAAAA
rnacentral:lncRNA from 1 species